UUUUUUUGUUGUACCAUAUGAGUUUUGGGUUAACUGAAUGGCUGCAAAGCUUUAUCCCCAUCAAUCAAUAAGAUUAACAAAACCUAUAUUGAUUGAUUCUUUAAUUUUUUUUUAUAAACUUAAAAAAAAAGUGGGUUAACUUUGAGUCUUACACUGUGUACAGUAAAUUAAAAAGGUGGAUGAACCCUGAUGAUGGUGAUAAGUUUCUGUUUGAACGAAAACAUUGUGUUUCAGUUGGAGUUGCUUGCAAUACAGCGCACCAAAUCCAUCAAUAUCAAGGGGCUAUUUGGAACAGUAAAACACUAGUGCAAGAUGAUAACCAAAAUUCCCUUCCCAACGAGUAGUGAGCAAAC